CCUUCGAUUUUCUAUCCUUUUAUAAUUUUUGGAAUAAAAGAAUAGAAAAUCGAAGGUG
rnacentral:pre_miRNA from 1 species